rnacentral:lncRNA from 10 species
GGCUUGAACCGGGAAGGUAGUGCUGGAGGAAAGAAAGAAAAAGAUGACCUGGCCUCCUUGUAAACGUGUGAAUGGCAUACACAUACAGCACCUUUACCAGAAAAGAGGUCUAAGAGUUCGGAUGGCAAACAAACUAGAAUCUCUGAAUUUAUGGGGUAAGGUUCUCUGGACAGUGUCAUAAGCUGUGCAAUUACCAGAGGAUACAAUGAAGAUAUUUCAUCAGACGGAGUCUCGUUGUUACGCGGCUGGAGUACAGUGGCGCAAUCUCGGCUCACUGCAACCUUCAUCUCUUGGGUUCAAGCGAUUCUCCUGCCUCAGCCUCCCGA